UGUGUAUCAUUUAUUAAUGUAUCCAUAUAGAUUGGGAGAGCAUAUUGACACUUUCCUUUCACUAAUGAGGUAGGUAAUUUAUGCUUAGCAUUCCAACAAUGGAAGGCUCUAAGCAUGUGGGAGUUAUUUAUAUCCUACUGCUCAAGGUUAUCACCAAGAUCUGAUUGCAAAAAUUCAAAAAAUUGCAACCUCAGGCAUGAAUGGGUUAAAACAGUUGGGAUACUGUUGCUUUAAAUAACUAAAAAAAUUAGCUGGUUGAAUGGAAUUAUUAAAUUUAGGACCGUGACAUUUGGGGAACACCCACCACAAUAAUUAUUUUAAUUGUAAAAUCGUUUAUCUAAAACUAAUCGUUCUGGUAGUGGUCUCAUCACAUGAUGAACCACCCACAGAGGCCACUUCCAGGCUGUGAAAUUAAUAUUGGUAUACAGAAGGAGACUUAUUUGCCUAUUUUUCCAUAGCCAGGAGAAAUUAAUCAAAGUCAGUUUCAAAUUAUUAAUGUUUAAUGUGUAAAAAGGGGGCACAGAACACAGCCCUGAUUUAUGCCACCAGACAAUAUUAGCUGCAUCAUCAAAAGAUGUGCCAGUUGAUUCCAACUCUCACUGUCGUGUAAAAAGCUGAUUUCUCUGAAUACCAAAAACUAUGAAUCCACAAGGAGGUCAUUCAUGCUGACCCAAAGAUGGCUACUGUCAUAUAGUCAAACGUCACGGAAAGGUCAGUCAAAGGUCAAGCUAGUUGGAGGGCACACAGGGGUCAUGGAGAAGCCAGCACUGAAGCUCACUUGCUCCUCAUGUAAAAUGCCAGCCUUGGAAAUGCAGACCUGCAGGCUUGAGAGAAGAAAGGCGAAACAUUGAGAUGCAACGCCUAUAGCCCGUGACAUGGUUGUCAUAUUUUAAAAUGAGGUCCAAUGUUCUUUGAGUCUAACCAGAUGGGACUAUGUCUAUGAAGUACACUGAAGUUAUGAGGUUGUUGAUUGGUGCUUACCAGUAUGAAAAAAUGUUAGACUAGACCCAAUGGCUAAAGACACUCAUCGGCAAUUUCAUUUCCUUUAAGCAAUGAGGAAAUGUUCUCAGCUGAAAACUGCAAGGGAGGCUAUUACGCUUGAAACACUUUUCGCAGGACUUUAAAAAAGAUGGGCCUCUUAGCGAAGAGCCAACUAAAGGAAAGUCAGUGAAAGAGAGUCUGUAGCAUUUAAGACUUGGAAAGUGAAAGUGGGAAACGAUGAAAUGAAGGCGCUGUCAAUGGCAAAGGCACACACAGAUGAUAGCCCACACCUAACAAAGUCAGAAAGUAAGAAGUAACAAAGAAAGAGGCUUUUGGUAUUUCCUUAUUCUCAGACCAAAAUAACCGUAAAUACAGAUGAAUCAUAAAUGAUAAGUGUCUUUUAAGAAUAACUCUUUUUGGGGGGUGGAGGGAGGAUAGGGUCUCUCUCUGUCGUCCAGGCUGGUGUGCAGUGGCAUGAUCAUGGCUCACUGCAGCCUCCACCUCUCAAGCUCAAUUGAUCCUCCCACCUCAGCCUCCUGAGUAUCUGGGACUACAUUUGCACGCCACAUGCACAGUUACUUUUUGUAUUUUUUGUAGAGACAGGUGUUUGCCAUGUUGCCCAGGCUGGCCUUGAACUCCUGGGCUCAAGUGGCCUCGGCCUCCCAAAGUGCUGGGAUCACAGGGGUGAGCCACCACACCCAGCCAAAAAUAGCUCUUAUGAAUAAGAUCUCUUUGCUCUAAUUCUGUAUGCAUUGGGCACUCUCUUGAGGAGCCUUUGGGCUCCUGAGCAGACACGUACGCCAAGAAGUGAAUUCCAUUCUCCAGCAGCUGGUGCUAAAUAUGGGCCAGGUACGGCUCAUUAUGAAAAAACAAAAAACUAGAACAGACCAGCCACCUGUAUGUUUAAUUAUUGUGACUGAUUCUCCCAAGUCUGAUUUUCUUCACAAGUACAAAUACGAUGGAGCUUCUUACCCAGCAAACUGAGACUCCAAAUCAUCAAAAGAUCAUGUCCCUCAAAAAAUCCGCCUGCUCCACCCAUUUCCUCAUUAAUUUGUUCAUUCAGCCACUCAGCACACAUUUGCUGAGUGUCCACUGUGUGUCAGGCACUGUUCUAGGUGCUAGAGAGAACAAAAUAGACAAAAAUCCAGAGAUAGACAAAAAUACCAUUAAUAAGUGAAUUGUAGAGUUAAACAACAAUAAGUAUUAGAAAUACCAGGGAGAGGCAGAAUAUAAAAGAGGAAAAGAGAAUGCCAUUUGGGGAGGGAAAGUCAUUUCUUUUUUUUUAUUUUUUGAGACAGUCUCACUCACGCUGUCGCCCAGGCUGGAGUGCAGUGGUGCCAUCUCGGCUCAUUGCAACCUCCGCCUCCUGGGUUCAAGAGAUUCUCCUGUCUCAGUCUCUCAAGUAGCUGGGACUACAAGGGUGUGCCACGACACCCAGCUAAUUUUUGUACUUUUAGUAGAGACAAGGUUUCACCAUUUUGGCCAGGCUGGUCUUGAACUCCUGACCUCAAGUGAUCUGCCCAUCUGGGCCUCCCAAAAUGCUGGGUUACAGGUGUAAGCCACUAUGCCCGACUGGGAAGUCAUUUUAAAUAAAGUGGCCAGGAAAGACCUCACUGAGAAAGACACAAAUUCCAGAAAGAAGUGAAAAUUUGGGGGAGUGUUUCAGAAAAAGAGAGCAGCAAGUGCAAAGGCCCUGAGGUAGGAACAUGCCUGACAGGUUGAGGAGGAACUCAAAAGAAGUGAGCAAAGCAGAGAUUUAUACAUAAGGCAUUGAAAGUAAUGAGGCCAUGAGGGAGUGGGGUGGGAGGAAGGCAGACCAUGUAGGGCCUUGGGGGCCUUUGCUAUCACCUUAGCUUUUACUCAGGGUGAGAUGCAAAGCCCUUAGAGGGAUUAAAACAGAGGAGUGAAGUGAUCCAAUUCAACAUUUCUCAUUUAACCAUGGGGAGUCUGGGGCAGUAGCACCAUGUAGAAGGAGAUUACACUAAUCUGGUAUGUAUAGGAAAAACUCGAUUGUGACUUAGACCAGAAUGAGCGUAGUGGAUGUGAUGAGAUGUGGUCAGACUCUGGAUAUAUUAUUAAAGUACAGUCAGUCAGGUUUGCUGACACAAGAAGAGUCAAGCACAACCCCAAAUACUUCAUCCUGAGCAACUGAAAGGAAGGAGGUGCCCUGAGCUGAUAGGGAGGGCCAGGGAAAGAUCAGGCUGGGAGUUGGGUAAGAUCAGGAGUUUGGUUCUGGACACAUCAAGUUUGAGAUGUCUGUUGGACAUCCAAGUGGAGCUGCUAGGUGGGUGGGUGAUAUAUGAGUCUGCAGUUCAGGAGAGAAGUCCAGGCCGGAGAGAUAAAUUGAAGAGUGUCCACAUUUAGAUAUUAAAGCCAAGAGAUGGAUGAGCUCACUAGUCAGUGUAGAUGGAAAAGGAAAGAGGUCCGAAGACUGAGCCCCAGGGCCUCCCAGCACUUGAGGUGUCAAAGUAAGGAGAAGACAACAAAGGAGACUGGCCGAUGAAGUGAGAGCAUAAUAAGGGGCUCCCCAGAGGAGGGGACGCUGUGCCAAAGCCAGAGGGGGCUUCUCAGUGGCCACUGCGUUUGGCAAUGUAGAGGUCACAGGGCUCUCAGCAAGAGCAGCUUAGCAAAGCCUGAGCAGAGUGAGCUCGAGAGAGCAGUGGAGACGAGGAGUCGGAGAUCUGGAAUACAGAGAACACCCCCUCUGAGUUUUGCUGUAAAAGGGAGAAGAGAGUUGGGAGAAAGGUCAGGAGAAGCUGGCAGAAAGAGGGUGGGAGUCUUGUUAAUUUGUUUGAGUUGGUUUUGGUUUUUAAGGUGGGAGAAACAACCACCCAUGUGUAUGCCAACAGAAACGACCCAAUGGAGAGUAAAACUGAUGAUUCAGGCUUCAGAGAAUUGCUGCAAUGAUGUCCUAAAAAAGAUGAAAGGAAGUGGGAUUCUAAUAAUAUUAACAACAAUGAAAAUAAUAAUGCUAACAUUUAACAAAUGCUGAGUAUGCACCAAGCACUGUUCUAACCACUUUACCAACAUUAUAUCAUUUAAUCCUCACAGUGCCCUAUGAAAGAGGAAUAAUUAUUUCCCCGGCUUUAGAGGUGAAGAAACAAAGCCUCAAGAGCCUGCUCAAGAUCACGCACUGUGAGGUAGAACCCAGCUUUCAGGAUUCAGAGUCCAAGCCCCAACCCUCGGGCCACACUGCCUCCUUUUGUUUUAAGACCACAUAAAGGAACUGUUUCGUUUGUAGGGAGGUGGGUUCCAGCAGGAACCUAGCAAGCUGCCCUCGUCUGAUUUCCCAGGAGUGGAGUUGGUGUCAUGGGGGAGACUGGAGGUGAGGGGUCAGGGGGCAGGUAGGUUUGACACAAGGAAAGAUGGGUAGGGUGUUUGAUGAAUGGCAAGAAGACCCAAAGAAGAUCCAAAGAGAGGAGGGUCCCACUGAGGAGCAACCAGAGCUGAAUCGGAAGGGGAGGCUGGCUGGGCCAGGGUCAGAGGUGGCAGCCUUCAAUGCCAGGCUGGGGGCUGGCCUUCAUCCUCCAGGCCCGUGGCUUUCAAACUUCAUUUAUUUUGUUCUGCUUUUUAGCAGUGGAACUCUGUUGAUAAAAUGAAAUAUUGCAUGGGGUGUCCAAUAAAUAAAACUGACCAGGAGCAGAGCAGAUGAGACAGCCUGACUUCCUGCAGAUGUGGCCCCUCCCUGCAGGGAGCAGCAUGGGGGCAGCGGAGGAGGCCUCAGGGCCAGCUGUAAAGCCCUUGAGUUAAAGCAGGAGAGUGAGAGUGAAGGUGGCUGGGAGGGGAAACUGAGGAAAAAAGGAAGCUGCUAUGAAUGAAUGUUUGCUCACUCCUUCCCUUCUUCCCUUCCUCUCUUCCUUCUUCUUUCCUUUCCUCCCUCCCUCCCUCCUUUUCACUCCUUUCUUUCCUUCUUUCAAACAAUUUUAGGCCAGGAGGUGAUAAGGACUUGAAUACCAGGACCCCAGCCUUUCUGAUACUCACCAAAAUGUUAAAACUAUUGCUCUGAAUGUACAAGUUUCAGAAGAAAGGAGUUGGUGGUGGCCUCCUCCUCCUCAUUCUUUUCCUCCUCCUCCAUUUUUAUCUAUUCAUUAUUUUUCUGUCUUUUUUUAACAUUAGCAAAGUGUCCAGUACUUACAAAGGACACACUGUCUUUUCAAAACAAGAAAGGCUUUCAACCUGUACCAAAUAAGUCAGAAGUUCUUUCCUCUUUUCUCCAGAAGACUGGGAUAGCACCUGCUUUGGGCCAGCAUGUCCUGCAGCAUAAGGACUUUCUCAUCCCUUUAAGGGCAUCCACACCGUACUGAAGAGUGCCACUGACAGGUCCCUGCUGCAGCCCAGGCUCCACAUGGGCACUUUGCAAACAUUUCUAAUUCUCAUACAUGGCAACCUAUAAAACUUACCACGAGGCCAGGCGCAGUGCCUGAUGCCUGUAAUCCUAACACUUUGGGAGGCCGAGUCGGGCGGGUUGCCUGAGGUCAGGAGUUCGAAACCAGCCUGGUCAACAUGGUGAAACCUUGUCUCUAUUAAAAAUACAAAAAUUAGCUGGGCAUGGUGGUGCAUGCCUGUAAUCCCAGCUAUUCGGGAGGCUGAGACAGGAGAAUUGCUUGAACCCAGGAGGCAGAGGUUGCAGUGAGCCGAGAUCACGCCACUGCCUGGGUGACAGAGAUGAGACUCCAUCUCAAAAACAAAAACAAAAACAAAAAAACACAAAACUUACCACAGCUUGUCACUCCUACCCACAGAAUGUCUCCAGCCCUUCACCGUCUUCUGUACCCUUAACUUCCUUACUUGAGACGGUGGUCUCUCAAUUACUGCAGCAGCCAGUCCAUCAGUCUCCUUGCCUCGUCUUGCCCUUCCUACACUGACUCCACAACCACCUUUCUAAAACUCCAUCUGAUGUUAUUUUUUGCUUAACACCCUCCCAUGACUCCUUUGCCAUACAGGAUAAGGUGCCAUCCUGAGCACCCUAUUCUCUGAGAAGCCUUCUCUGACUUCCUCCCAUGGGCAGACCAGCUUUUUCUCCUUGGAGCCACUACCGUAACACAGACAUUCCACCGUGUAGCAUCCGUGUCCAGUGCUGCAGUUACUGCCCAAGCAUCAGUGUCUCUACAAUGCUGUGAGUGCCAAGUGGGUAGAAGCCAUGUGAUAUGCUGCUGUACCCUCAGGCCUAAUACAGUGCUGGGCAUAGACUGUUUCCUGUUUCCUGUUUCCUACGAACACUUGCUGCAUUUGGAGUAGGAACGACAGCCCAGUCAGAGUGAAGAGACCAUGUCUGUUCCCACCUCCAACCAACUACCUGUGUGGACUUCAGCAAGUCACUUCACCUAUGAACCUUUAUCAAAAGGAUAGAACUGAAUUUCCUCUGAAGUUCUUCCGAAACUCAAAAUUCUUAAAGAAGAAAUAAACUUUAUGUAAAUGUCCACUGAAAAACUUUUAUGUAAAUGUCCACUGAAGAACUUGAUUCACCUGCAGCUACCUAAAUAUAAUGUUUCAUUAAUGAAUCACACAUUUCAAAAUGGAAAGAAAAAAAUUCACUGAGAGUAUUUUUUAAAUCUAUUGGAUGUUUAAACCCAGUGCUGAUUUUCCAGUAAACAUCCACACUCAUUUGCCCACAAGACUGAACUUUCUCAGGUGUCCGAUGCUAUGCGUGGUUUGCCCAAAGUUACCAACAGCUGCAAAGUGUUCUUUCCCAUAGCUUUCCACUCUGUGCAUAUUUAUCACUUCCUGUCCGCUUCUGAAAAUAAAAUGUGGAGUUGCAAAAAGUUUCUUAUGGGGGAUAUUUAACCAGCUAUUAAGCCAAAUAAACUUUAUGACAAAAUAAAUGUUAGAAAGUAGGACAAAAUGAUUUUUUUAGAACCUAACUAAAUAUUUAAAUAUUGGAGCGGAUGAUAUAUCAACACCAUGGGAUCUCAUAUAAACCCUAGAAACCUGGAGAUUAUAUUUCAGUAAUGUUUUAAUAAUAAAUAAAUUUGACUUUGAACUGGCUUAACAAAUUGUGUUUGUCAGUCAGAGGAGGCAUAACUAAUAAAUAAGACUGCUUAAAUGCUCUUUUUAAAAUGACUACUAUGUGAAGAAAUGUGGCCUGGAUCACAGAUAUAUUAAGUGGUCAAUAGCAAAAUUAAUAUGGGGUUUCCAUGAAC
rnacentral:lncRNA from 1 species